rnacentral:rRNA from 1 species
AUUGAACGCUGGCGGCAUGCCUUACACAUGCAAGUCGAACGGUAACAGGUCUUCGGAUGCUGACGAGUGGCGAACGGGUGAGUAAUACAUCGGAACGUGCCCGAUCGUGGGGGAUAACGGAGCGAAAGCUUUGCUAAUACCGCAUACGAUCUACGGAUGAAAGCAGGGGACCGCAAGGCCUUGCGCGGACGGAGCGGCCGAUGGCAGAUUAGGUAGUUGGUGGGGUAAAGGCUUACCAAGCCCGCGAUCUGUAGCUGGUCUGAGAGGAUGAUCAGCCACACUGGGACUGAGACACGGCCCAGACUCCUACGGGAGGCAGCAGUGGGGAAUUUUGGACAAUGGGCGAAAGCCUGAUCCAGCCAUUCCGCGUGCAGGAUGAAGGCCCUCGGGUUGUAAACUGCUUUUGUACAGAACGAAAAAGCUCUUUCUAAUACAGAGAGUCCAUGACGGUACUGUAAGAAUAAGCACCGGCUAACUACGUGCCAGCACG